GACGAACGCUGGCGGCGUGCUUAACACAUGCAAGUCGAACGGAAAGGCCCUGCUUUUGUGGGGUGCUCGAGUGGCGAACGGGUGAGUAACACGUGAGUAACCUGCCCUUGACUUUGGGAUAACUUCAGGAAACUGGGGCUAAUACCGGAUAGGAGCCCCUGCUGCAUGGUGGGGGUUGGAAAGUUUCGGCGGUUGGGGAUGGACUCGCGGCUUAUCAGCUUGUUGGUGGGGUAGUGGCUUACCAAGGCUUUGACGGGUAGGCGGCCUGAGAGGGUGACCGGCCACAUUGGGACUGAGAUACGGCCCAGACUCCUACGGGAGGCAGCAGUGGGGAAUAUUGCACAAUGGGCGGAAGCCUGAUGCAGCAACGCCGCGUGCGGGAUGACGGCCUUCGGGUUGUAAACCGCUUUCGCCUGUGACGAAGCGUGAGUGACGGUAAUGGGUAAAGAAGCACCGGCUAACUACGUG
rnacentral:rRNA from 1 species